AUUGAACGCUGGCGGCAUGCUUUACACAUGCAAGUCGAACGAGUGGCGGACGGGUGAGUAAUGUCUGGGAAACUGCCUGAUGGAGGGGGAUAACUACUGGAAACGGUAGCUAAUACCGCAUACUAUCGGAUGUGCCCAGAGGGGAUUAGCUAGUAGGGGGGGUAAAGGCUCACCUAGGCGACGAUCCCUAGCUGGUCUGAGAGGAUGACCAGCCACACUGGAACUGAGACACGGUCCAGACUCCUACGGGAGGCAGCAGUGGGGAAUAUUGCACAAUGGGCGCAAGCCUGAUGCAGCCAUGCCGCGUGUAUGAAGAAGGCCUUAGGGUUGUAAAGUACUUUCAGUCGGGAGGCGUUACCGACAGAAGAAGCACCGGCUAACUCCGUGCCAGCAGCCGCGGUAAUAC
rnacentral:rRNA from 1 species